rnacentral:rRNA from 1 species
UACGGAAGGUGCAAGCGUUGUCCGGAUUUAUUGGGUUUAAAGGGUGCGUAGGCGGCCGAUUAAGUCUGGGGGUGAAAGCCCGUUGCUCAACAACGGAACUGCCCUGGAAACUGGUUGGCUUGAGUACAGACGAGGGUGGCGGAAUGGAUGGUGUAGCGGUGAAAUGCAUAGAUACCAUCCAGAACCCCCGAUUGCGAAGCAGCUGCCUAGACUGUAACUGACGUGAGGCACGAAAAGCGUGGGGGAGCGAACAGG